rnacentral:tRNA from 1 species
GCCUGGCUGGCUCAGUCAGCAUGUGACUCUUGAUCUCAGGGUUGUGAGUUCAAGCCCCAUGUUGGGCA